GGAGGGAUUGGGUUUAGGGAUAUGCAUCUGUUCAACAUUGCUCUCCUGGCAAAGCAAGGAUGGAGACUGCUUCAGAAUCCGAAUAGUCUAUGUGCGAGAGUGAUCAAAUCCAAAUAUUGUCCCCAUGGGAACUUGCUAGGCAUUGUGUUUUCUUUGGAUGCGUCCCCAGUAUGGAGAGGAAUUGAGGUUGGCCUUGAGUUGUUGAAAAAGGCAUCAUUUGGAGAGUGA
rnacentral:rRNA from 1 species